rnacentral:misc_RNA from 1 species
GAUGAAGAACGCAGCGAAAUGCGAUAAGUAAUGUGAAUUGCAGAAUUCAGUGAAUCAUCGAAUCUUUGAACGCACCUUGCACCCUUUGGCAUUCCGAAGGGUAUGCUCGUUUGAGUGUCAUUGUACUCUCACACUUCUGAUCCUUUGGAUUGGGAGCGGUGGACUUGGGUGUUGCUGCUUUACUGUGGCUCACCUCAAAUGCAUUCGUGCAACUCUUGGUUGGACAUAGUACGGCGUGAUAAGUAUCUUCGCCGGCACCUCGCAAGAGGGUGGCUGAUCAGGAGCUCUGUGCUUUCCAACUGUCUUCAGACAACAACUGACAACUUGACCUCAAAUCGAGUAGGACCACCCGCUGAACUUAAGCAUAUCAUAAGCGGAGGA